rnacentral:rRNA from 1 species
GGUUAAGCGACUAAGCGUACACGGUGGAUGCCCUGGCAGUCAGAGGCGAUGAAGGACGUGCUAAUCUGCGAUAAGCGUCGGUAAGGUGAUAUGAACCGUUAUAACCGGCGAUUUCCGAAUGGGGAAACCCAGUGUGAUUCGUCACACUAUCAUUAACUGAAUCCAUAGGUUAAUGAGGCGAACCGGGGGAACUGAAACAUCUAAGUACCCCGAGGAAAAGAAAUCAACCGAGAUUCCCCCAGUAGCGGCGAGCGAACGGGGAGGAGCCCAGAGCCUGAAUCAGUGUGUGUGUUAGUGGAAGCGUCUGGAAAGGCGCGCGAUACAGGGUGACAGCCCCGUACACAAAAAUGCACAUGCUGUGAGCUCGAUGAGUAGGGCGGGACACGUGGUAUCCUGUCUGAAUAUGGGGGGACCAUCCUCCAAGGCUAAAUACUCCUGACUGACCGAUAGUGAACCAGUACCGUGAGGGAAAGGCGAAAAGAACCCCGGCGAGGGGAGUGAAAAAGAACCUGAAACCGUGUACGUACAAGCAGUGGGAGCACAGAGCAAUCUGUGUGACUGCGUACCUUUUGUAUAAUGGGUCAGCGACUUAUAUUCUGUAGCAAGGUUAACCGAAUAGGGGAGCCGAAGGGAAACCGAGUCUUAACUGGGCGUUAAGUUGCAGGGUAUAGACCCGAAACCCGGUGAUCUAGCCAUGGGCAGGUUGAAGGUUGGGUAACACUAACUGGAGGACCGAACCGACUAAUGUUGAAAAAUUAGCGGAUGACUUGUGGCUGGGGGUGAAAGGCCAAUCAAACCGGGAGAUAGCUGGUUCUCCCCGAAAGCUAUUUAGGUAGCGCCUCGUGAAUUCAUCUCCGGGGGUAGAGCACUGUUUCGGCAAGGGGGUCAUCCCGACUUACCAACCCGAUGCAAACUGCGAAUACCGGAGAAUGUUAUCACGGGAGACACACGGCGGGUGCUAACGUCCGUCGUGAAGAGGGAAACAACCCAGACCGCCAGCUAAGGUCCCAAAGUCAUGGUUAAGUGGGAAACGAUGUGGGAAGGCCCAGACAGCCAGGAUGUUGGCUUAGAAGCAGCCAUCAUUUAAAGAAAGCGUAAUAGCUCACUGGUCGAGUCGGCCUGCGCGGAAGAUGUAACGGGGCUAAACCAUGCACCGAAGCUGCGGCAGCGACGCUUAUGCGUUGUUGGGUAGGGGAGCGUUCUGUAAGCCUGCGAAGGUGUGCUGUGAGGCAUGCUGGAGGUAUCAGAAGUGCGAAUGCUGACAUAAGUAACGAUAAAGCGGGUGAAAAGCCCGCUCGCCGGAAGACCAAGGGUUCCUGUCCAACGUUAAUCGGGGCAGGGUGAGUCGACCCCUAAGGCGAGGCCGAAAGGCGUAGUCGAUGGGAAACAGGUUAAUAUUCCUGUACUUGGUGUUACUGCGAAGGGGGGACGGAGAAGGCUAUGUUGGCCGGGCGACGGUUGUCCCGGUUUAAGCGUGUAGGCUGGUUUUCCAGGCAAAUCCGGAAAAUCAAGGCUGAGGCGUGAUGACGAGGCACUACGGUGCUGAAGCAACAAAUGCCCUGCUUCCAGGAAAAGCCUCUAAGCAUCAGGUAACAUCAAAUCGUACCCCAAACCGACACAGGUGGUCAGGUAGAGAAUACCAAGGCGCUUGAGAGAACUCGGGUGAAGGAACUAGGCAAAAUGGUGCCGUAACUUCGGGAGAAGGCACGCUGAUAUGUAGGUGAAGCGACUUGCUCGUGGAGCUGAAAUCAGUCGAAGAUACCAGCUGGCUGCAACUGUUUAUUAAAAACACAGCACUGUGCAAACACGAAAGUGGACGUAUACGGUGUGACGCCUGCCCGGUGCCGGAAGGUUAAUUGAUGGGGUCAGCGCAAGCGAAGCUCUUGAUCGAAGCCCCGGUAAACGGCGGCCGUAACUAUAACGGUCCUAAGGUAGCGAAAUUCCUUGUCGGGUAAGUUCCGACCUGCACGAAUGGCGUAAUGAUGGCCAGGCUGUCUCCACCCGAGACUCAGUGAAAUUGAACUCGCUGUGAAGAUGCAGUGUACCCGCGGCAAGACGGAAAGACCCCGUGAACCUUUACUAUAGCUUGACACUGAACAUUGAGCCUUGAUGUGUAGGAUAGGUGGGAGGCUUUGAAGUGUGGACGCCAGUCUGCAUGGAGCCGACCUUGAAAUACCACCCUUUAAUGUUUGAUGUUCUAACGUGGACCCGUAAUCCGGGUUGCGGACAGUGUCUGGUGGGUAGUUUGACUGGGGCGGUCUCCUCCUAAAGAGUAACGGAGGAGCACGAAGGUUGGCUAAUCCUGGUCGGACAUCAGGAGGUUAGUGCAAUGGCAUAAGCCAGCUUGACUGCGAGCGUGACGGCGCGAGCAGGUGCGAAAGCAGGUCAUAGUGAUCCGGUGGUUCUGAAUGGAAGGGCCAUCGCUCAACGGAUAAAAGGUACUCCGGGGAUAACAGGCUGAUACCGCCCAAGAGUUCAUAUCGACGGCGGUGUUUGGCACCUCGAUGUCGGCUCAUCACAUCCUGGGGCUGAAGUAGGUCCCAAGGGUAUGGCUGUUCGCCAUUUAAAGUGGUACGCGAGCUGGGUUUAGAACGUCGUGAGACAGUUCGGUCCCUAUCUGCCGUGGGCGCUGGAGAACUGAGGGGGGCUGCUCCUAGUACGAGAGGACCGGAGUGGACGCAUCACUGGUGUUCGGGUUGUCAUGCCAAUGGCACUGCCCGGUAGCUAAAUGCGGAAGAGAUAAGUGCUGAAAGCAUCUAAGCACGAAACUUGCCCCGAGAUGAGUUCUCCCUGACUCCUUGAGAGUCCUGAAGGAACGUUGAAGACGACGACGUUGAUAGGCCGGGUGUGUAAGCGCAGCGAUGCGUUGAGCUAACCGGUACUAAUGAACCGUGAGG